UUUUUUAAGGCAGCCUUUUUUUGGGCCAGGACUUGGCUGUGUGUCUAUAUGCAGCUCCUAGCACAGCGGGACGCGGAGCACGAUAGGACCUCUGGAUCCCAUAGUGAUGCUGGUACUGGGAGAUGACUGGAGAUGCUGGCUGGAGCUCUACGCCUGACAGCAGCCCAGGAGCAGGACUGGUCUGGCUACCCUGAAACACUGAGAUGUGAUCGAGUCUGAGCUGGUUACCAUGCUCCAGUGCUCACUGGAGGUCUGACUGCAGCAUGAGGUGGCAUUUGAAAUGUCUCUGAUGGUGGCCCCAUUCAGGCAUUGGAACGUGUUGUCUGGGGAAAUGGCAAGUCUACAUGCCUGGAGGUACUGAAGACAUUCAUGGAUGUGGCACCAAGGGACAUGGAAUAGAGAUGGGACUUGGGCAAUGUAAAUGGGACUUCACCCCAUCCCCACCUCCUGACUUGAGACUGUGGCUUGAGAACAGCAGGAAUUGCUCAUGGGACAGACCAGGGAUGUAUAUAUCAAGGCUGGAACACAGAGAUGAAAGCAUCCCGGGGGCAGGCAGAAGAGUGGGGCUGGAAUUCAGCUUCCUCACUGCAAGAUUUCACUUUCACUGAGUAGAUAUUUGGUAAAAUAUCUCUUCCUCCUCAUGCUGAGGACCUUAUUGCUCCCCAGGCCUGAGCACAGGAUCAUUCAACAGAAAGACAUUGAAAAAGUCAGCGUUGGCUUUUUCUCUCUGCAAAUAACACCGUGUUUCAGAGAGGCUGAAAUUGCAACAUGAAUCAAAGCAGACAGCUGGAGUCUAUGCGUGCAGCCUGCAGCCCUCAUGCACUGAAGGGCCUGCCCUGUCCCCAGGACGUCUAUGGACGCUCCAAGGUGAGAGCCCUGAGAGCAGUGCCUGGUGAGGAGCAGUGUCCUUCAGGUGACACCCCAAAGGCUUGUGCUCAUCCCAUGGGCAUCUAUGAGAAGAGCAGCUGCUGGGCCAGCUUCUUGAAGGUGGGAAAUCUCCUCUUGGGAGCAGUAAUUGAUGAUAACUCCCCAUUUGGAGCACACGGUGAGUCCCAGAGCCAUGCUCACAGCACCCUGAGUCUUCCAUACUGGAGUGGUGUUGCUCCCUGCCCACCAGCACUGAGGCUGCAGCAGAUUUGCUGUUUUAACAUAGCAUUGCAUCCCGGCUCCGUGUGCCAAAAUCAAUAAAGGGAUCAUGAAUGAUAUUUCAAUAAUAACGAUCAUGAGAACAAAUAUAGCCGUGUGCUGGGUGCUGUGCUCAAAUGCAACAGCACAGUCCCUCUGUUGUAUUUAAAGAUCCUGACCCUGGCUGGUUAGAUACCAGGAAAUCUGCUUAUUGAUUUAAUGACCUUUGGCUGAAGUCGUGAGCAGAGAGGAGGCAGAGGAGGAUGGAAUAGAAUCACAGAGCCAUCAAAUCACUGAGGUUGGAAAAGACCUCUGGGAUCUUCAAGUCUGACCCCUACCCAUCCCACCAUGCCCACCAGCCGUGUCCCUCGUGCCAUGUCUCCAUGCUUCCAGAACACUUCCAGGGAUGGUGACUCCACCACUUCCCUGUUUUAAUGCAUUACUUAAAGGUCUUUUCCAGCUUUAACAACUCUAUGACUAUGACCACUUCUUCUGAGAAGGAACCCUUCCCAAUAUCCAAACUGGAGAGCAGGGAUGCAGCUUGCUUGGCUGGGUUUGUUUCAUUCUACCCUUUUACCCUCUUUCUCUUCGUACUCCAGCACCAAGCUUGUCCAUCCCCAGGGAUAAGCACACCUUAUAGCCCCACGCUCCUCCCAAGGGUGGGUACAUCAGCACAGCCACACAGUGUGGCGCUCCCACCCGGGAGCCACCCUGCAGGAGGGUCUUUGGGUGCCCUCCUUCACCCACAGCUAUUUCCACCUGUGGGGCUGUCUAUGGAUAUCUCACCCCCAGGUCUGUGGGGCAGCCCUGGCUGGGGCCAUGCCUUGCCAAAAGCAUUUCCUGGUGAGUUGCAGCCCCGUGGUGAGCCAGCUGCUCGGCAUGGCUGAGAAUCGACAGGGAACCAAGCGGGUGGAGGAUUUUAAUACCUAUCCCUCUCAAACUGCUAUGGAAAGGGAAAGUUCAUUGGUUGUCGAUAUUAUCCUGCUGUGAUAAAAGCUUAAGAAGCUGCUUUGCAAAUGCCCACUGCGAGGAGCAUGCUAUAAAUGUUUCCAGCAUGAAGUGAUACAUCACAGCUCAUGGAUGUUCCCACUGAGAAAGACCCCAGCUCCAGCUUCUUCCAGGGACGCGCUUAGGAAAUGCAAUCUACCACUGCCAGCAUAAUCAAACACAUAUUGUUCCCAGGCACCAAAGUGGCCACCGGUGAAUUGAUACUUGGGAGCACUUUGUUCUUACACAGCUCUUCAUCUGUCACUCUCAAAAUCUGUGGGUUUUCUCCUUCUUUUUGUUUUUACAAGGGGUUCCUAUUACCAUCUCCACUCUGCCAGGAGGGAAACUGAGGCUGGGAAUGUCACCCAUGACUGCUGAGUCUGUGGACGUCUCCUUGGAAUCACAUCAGUUCAUUACAGGCACAGCUUUCCUUUGGCCAUCAGUGUCCAUCUGCUCAGAUGUUCCGGAGCUCCAUCAUGAAAGCCUGGGAAAUUUAUUUAUUUCAACCCAUUUAAAGUGAUUUCACUAAUGUAUUCCACAGAGUGGGUUUAGCGUGUGAGCUCUUUACUAAAAUCAUUACUGUAUUAAUGAGACCUAACCUAAAGCCACUGAACAUGACUUUAAAGGAAUAUCUCAAAGCGGCGGCUGAGAUGGAUGGGAGCAGGCAGAACGUGUUUGUAAAGUUAUAUUUAGUCAAAUCAAACUGGAACUCAUUAAAUACAGCAAAAUAAUUCACUGAAUAAUUCACUCCAGUUGAAUGCGAAGGAUUUGGAGAACCUUGGGUUGUUUGAUUGAAAAGCAGGUUAUUGAUGCUCCUGUGCAUGUGACAGAGCAGAAAUAGGAGUGGGAGGUGGAGAGCUGUCACCUCGGUGUGAAGGGCCUUCCGUGGAGAAAGGUCCAUCAGAACCAAAGGUUGGCAAAGCGUGGCUGGAAUUAAGGCUCACGCUUUUGUUUGGGAGGGAAAUGAACAGCAGCCCCUGAGUGGGGAGUAUGGGAUGUAGGAGAGCACUCUGGGAGCAGCGCAGGGUCAGAGGAGGAAUGGCUCCAGCAGUGCCUUUGCUUAUACCCAAGCAGGGCAUGCACCUACUCUUAAAGCAAGUAAAACCUCAUUCCCUCAUUCGUGCAAACUUCAGGCCACACCUCAGACCUGGUCCCAACCAUUCAGCCAUCCCUACAGCAUCGGAGAGGAUCAGCUUUGCUUCACAUAUGAGAAAACCCUGGCACAGACACCAUGGCAGCUCAGCCAUGUGUCCCCUCCGCACCCCCUCCUCCUUUAACCCCAUUCAUGCCAGCAUGCUCCGCUCUGGAAUCUCCCAGCAAAAGGAAAAGCUUUAAACAAAAUACAAUUUUACAGUUCAUUUCAGUUAAUCACAGAGUCUAUGUUCUGAAAUGAUCUUCUCGGCAUUGCCUAUGGAGAGAAGCAAUGGCUGAUUGGCAUUCCAUUACUAAACAGCUAAGCCAUUCAUAAUGCAAAAAAACAGACUUGAUGGAAAGAUUUGAUUCAGUUUUCAAGCUAGACUAAUUCAAAACCCAGUGCUCUAUAAAUCAGAGCAAAUGUUCUUUAUAAAAAAAAUAUAGCCGAGCCUGUGUGCAGUAUCAGAUCUAUGAUUUAUGCCUGUAUCCCAUUAAACUGAAGGACAAGCGAGGGGAGCACAGGGCUGCCACUGCAUGCCAGCUCCCUGCCUGCCCCGCAAUAAACACGUUCUGUGACUGCAGGAACAGUGUGAUGUCUGAGGGACGUUUGGGGGCUGAGGGGAUGUUCUGUUUUCCAGGGGCACAGCAAAGCCCCUUGGGGGGCUGUGGAGCCUGCAGGAGGGCAGGGGAUGGUGCCUCGGAGCAGCAGGGCUGUGCUGAAGCCCUCGGUUUUUCCUUCUUUGCUGCACCACCUCAUGCCCUGCAGAGUCCCUUCUGCAGAGAUACCACUGUUUUUCAGCCUGCAGGUGGGAUGUCUCCUUUGAGCAUCACAGGAUACAACAGUUCCCCAGCACCACUUUCAGGCUGCAGCAGAAGGAAGCGGUCCAGGAAACAUCCCACGCGUGUUUCCUUCCUGCUAAACCUCUCCACCCGAUGGCAGCUUCAGCGCUGUGCAUUGCUUUGGUGCAUGGAGCAGUGCUGUGUUCCACACCAAGCCCUGGGUGUGGGUGUUCUUCCACCUCUCCGUGCAUCUCCUGCUCUUGUUUGCCUUCUCUACAGCCCACGUGGCUCCACACCGAGUGGAGCUGGGGGCCGUUAACAUCUGUUGGCACUCCAGAGCUCGUGGGGAAAACGAUGCCAUCUUUCAGGGACCGCCGCUGACAUUUUAAAAGCCGUGUCUGAAAUCCCUGAACAAUUAAGAGCGAGGCUUUCACAUUCCUCCCUACCCACAGCAUUGCACAGGCAAGGCACCAGCUGAGAAGUGCGUGGUGAUAGGAAAAGCCACGAUUAAUGAAUAAUGGAGCGCUGGCAAUAUGUAACUUCCAGGCGGAGCCAUCAUAAUUCAAUCCAAGCAGCAAUAUCAGGGCCUUUCCUUGGAGGAGUCUAAGCAGUGGUUAAAUAUUCAAUAAAAAAAAAAGAUGGCAUUUUAUUUUCCUUUGGCAAUUCUGCAUCUGAUUCAAACCAGCAUGGGUAGGAAGUGCUGCCUCGAGGGGGGAGGAGUUCAGAUGCAAAUCCAGCUGCCCCCAAGCCUGGGCUAUAAAACUGCUCAGUGGGGGAAGGAGCAAACCAGAUUUGUGAUGUUUGGGUGGAAAGAAGAGGCGUGCAGAGCUUUCUGCAGUGAUUUUUUUUCCACCUGGAUUUAUGCCCUUUGUCUUUCUAUCAUCAUUCAAAUUGCUGGGGUUGCUCUGGGGAAAAGCUUCACAUUUUUUUCUGGCUGGAUUUGUGUGAGUGUGGAGGUGCAUUCUUUCAAACAUCCCUGUAAGUCACAGUCUGCUCAGGCAUCUCGAGCUGAAGCAGAUGGCAUAACUGAGUGCAGCAGGUCCGCUCGUGCCCUUGUGCACUUCCCUUCCCUUCCCUUCCCUUCCCUUCCCUUCCCUUCCCUUCCCUUCCCUUCCCUUCCCUUCCCUUCCCUUCCCUUCCCUUCCCUUCCCUUCCCUUCCCUUCCCUUCCCUUCCCUUCCCUUCCUCUCCCCUCCCCUUCCGUACACUCAGCUCCAUGCAGUGCCAUCUCCCUCACCUUGCACCAGGUCUGGGUCUGCUCCAUCCCCGCAUCUUUGCCCUUUGAGCACAAACCUCACAGCAGCCUCUGUGCAUAUCCACCUCAUUGACUCCUCAUUUCUCUGCAGAUCUCCUGCCAUUCCUUCCUCUUCCUCUCCUCUUGCAGUUAGGGCUGAAUGCUUUCAUUAAUUCCCCCAAGUUCUCUCCACAUCACUGCUUUUCCUAAUGACUCCAUCCAGAAUCUACUGACAUCUGGUAUUUAGCUUUCCUGAUUCCUUCCAGGCACAUUUUGCUUGUGAGCAUCCCUGGCCCAACCACACCAGUGCUGCCCGGGUCAGCUCUCAAGGUGAAAUCUCACCUCAUCUGCUGCUCUCCUUGCAUUAAUAUUUAUUAAAUACAUUGUGGUGACUCCUCCAUCACUGACCAUUCUUUGCCUCUGUGGUAAGCGCUGUACAAAAAUGUACAGAAACAAUGGUCUCUGCAAGGAGCUAUGUGAAAAGGGAGCAAAUGGGGAGGAUGAAUCACAGUGCUACAGAAUCAUUGAGGUUGGAAAAGACCUCUGUGAUCACCAAGUCCAACCCCAACCCACCCCACCGUGCCCACUGACCACAUCCUUCAAUGCCACAUCUCCAUGGUCACUGAACACCUCCAGGGGCGAUGACUCCACCACGCAGCUGUGUAAGUGCAUCACCACUGUUUCUGAGAAGAAAUGCUUCCUUAUACCCAACCUGAUAUCCUUAUAUCCCCCCUCUGGUGCAACGUGAGGCCAUCACCCCUCAUCCUAAAGAAAACUUAGGGUGAAGUGGUUGGACCUGGUGGGCUGUGAGUGCAAGAUUCAGCCCCUCUUUAUAAGCCUUACCCUGCAAAAGUUUGGCAGAUGCAAAUGAAUGGGAUCAAUUCUUGUCUGCAUUUUUUUCUUUUUUCAUCGGGAAGAGCAAAUCUUCCACGUCUUGUCUGAAUGGCACCAGAAGGGGCUUCCUAAGAGAAGUGCAUGAGCAGCUGAGAGCAUUCCCAGCAUGGGAAACAAAGGCUCAGUUCAUGCUUAAUCUGUUCUACUGCGAGCUGUGCCCAGGGCUGGGGAUGCUCAGUGGGACUGCUGCAGGGAAAGGCUCCCAAUGGUCCCCAGGUGUGUCCCCAUCAAUGUGUCCUUGUGACAACUGCCAUAAGAUGAUACAGGGAGUGGGGAGUUGCUGUGCUCCAGACCACGUUGCAGGCCAGGGUUGGAGCAGAGCAAAGAGAAGUUCCUUUGAUUCCUGCCCAGCUUUCAGGCAGUCAGCAGCCCCAUGGUGAGAAUGGCUGAGCGAAAUCUCCGCCGCUCUCUUCGGCACCAGAGGGUCUCAUUUCAGCACUGAAGUCCCUUAUAAUAAUGGAACUGAUCCAUCAGAUAAGGGAGAUGAACAGGAAAAGGGAAGAGAUCCGUAUCUUAAAUUCUGCUUGGCUGUGGUGCUUUAUUCAUGAGACAACACUGCCUCCGCGAGCGGCCUCAGCACAGCCAGAGCUGCUCGAUGAAAAGUUACCAACCAGAGGCAUUGCAGUGGAAGGACUCAGAGAAACAACAGCACAGCUAAGCAAAUAGCUCCGUGCAUUCUGCAAAGGCCCCAUCAACCCCCACGGCAAGCGGGCGAGACAAUGCUGCACGCAAAACAAACACAGUUAAUCUGCAGCUCAGGCUAUUUUUCAGACUUUCCAGCAGACUUGCCCCUUGAGCUGCUUUUCUUUCCUUGCAUGGUUCUUUGCCAGCACCAAUGGAAGGCUGGUUAGCUUACCAGCCCCCCCCCCCGCCCCCACAAAAGGACAAUAUUUUAUCAAUCUGUUUUCCUGGGCAAUAACUUUUGCUUUCAAAAUCAAAGUGUUUUUUUUUUUUUUUUCUUUUCCGCUAAUAAUUUAAAGUCUGGGGGUAGGGAGUAGGGAACAGAGGUGGAAAACCAGAUUGUGAGGCCUUUAAUGCUGUCCAGAUAGGAGAACUGCUCUAAAUCAUUUCCAAAAAGAGAGCAAAGGUUAAGAUAAGGCGCUGUGCUGUUCAAAAAUAUCUCUGUAAUUCCAUUAAAGAGAGAACGGCUAAAAAGCAAGCAGCCAAAGAUAAAGCAAGACUGAUUUUUCCUGAGUGUUUAACAUAAUUUUUUGUCUCGAUAGAAUUACAACGAGCUCUCUUAACAAGGAGCAUCCUCCUCCUUUAAGCUGUGCCUCUGCCACCUUCAUGGGACUCUGCCUGGGAAGGGGUUGCAGCUGUAAGCUUUCCCUGCUGCGCUGGGGUUUAAGCAUAUAUAUAUAUAUAUAUAUAUAUAUGUUGGGUUUUUUUUUUUCCCCAUGAGAUCUGCCUGUUUCCUGCAGGAAAUUUCAGUUUUUCACUGGGAAAACAAAAUCCUUGGCUUUCGGUUGACAUUUGAUUUGUUUUCAAGCAGGAUGCUGUGCCAAAAUGUUGACAUUUUUCCAAUGAAAACGAAAACUUGCUUAAUCUGUCUGCGAAUCAUUUCCCUCCCCCUUUUUUUUUCCCUAUCAGUUCAGGCAAGCUCCAUCCUGAACCUGAUUUCCUGAGACCAACAAAGGAAAUAACCACUGUGCCCAAGGCUAUUUAAAACUCCCUCUGUGAUGCACAAGUCACACGCGCUCAUGAAAUCACUGCAGACAUUACACGCGAUGUCAUCGCGGCGCCAGCAGAAGGAUGUGGGAGCUCUCCUCGUUGCCUCUCCUCCUUGGACCAACUUCCCACCCAUUUGUCCCGCUGGGCUGCUGCCCUCCAGCAGUGAUAGGGCAGCUGAGGAGCCCAAGUCCUGUUGACUUGCAAGGGGCUUAAAUUGAUACCUCCUGAUCUGCACCACUUCUUCCGAAUGGAGUUUCUCCCUCUUCACAACGUCUCACUCUGCAUUGUCCUCCAGCUCAGGAUGUGCCUCUCAGCCUGCCUUCAGGGAGGAAGACCGAUUAUUCCUGCUUUUAAGAACCACUCCCUAACGAACUCAUGUGUUCUUCCAUUCUGCAUCUGGCUCUCAGAUUGCCUGAGAUCGUUUCCUCCCCCUUCUUGGUAUUUGCAAAUAAAGUAUUUACAGUUGAAUUCGGGUGGCAGCCUGUGUUGCGCCGGGGUGUUUCGGAGGAUGCUGUGGGUCAGCAUGGCCCUGUGCUGCUGCAGGAAGAUGGGACACUGCCACCGCAGCCCCAGAAACCGAGGGGGUCACUGCAAGGCUGUCAGCCACAGCUUGUUACCUGAGCGACGGGCAGGAACAAGGACUGAAAUCAGAGAGCUACACAGAAAAUCUCACUGCGUUCAGAACUGUGGUCUGUCCUGCAUGCUAACUGCUGUCAAUUACUUAUUUUUCGCAUCCUGGGCAUUGACAUCAGCUGACGGUAUGGCUCAAAAUCUUGUCGUGCUUUGUUGUUUUCCUCCUUGUUGUUCAAGUCACGCCUGCCUCUAUCAGCUCUGUCCUUUUUCCUCUUCUGUUCCUUUCUGUCCUGCAAACGUAUGCAGGGUGUUCCUGCGAAUGGCAGGGUUUACUCAACCGCUGAUAACUCCAAUCUAGUCUAACAAAGAAGUAAAUGCACAAUGACAUCUCUUGUGCAAAGAGCUGUCAUAAAGUGCGGCUGGCAAUCCAAGUGGUAUAAAUGCUCUUUCGAUUAAGUGCCUCAUUGAGGUGAGCUGAUGAUGCUCCAUUAGGCUGAGGUGAUAGACUUCUAGUUCUCAACACAAUUGGUGGGGAGAGGGAUCCAGCCUUGUACAGGCAGCAUGGCUCUCGCUGUUCUGUUUGCUCCAGGCUGAUCCCAUCCAUCACAGCUUUGCUCCUGAGCUGCAGUCCCCUUUCCUCGCUGUGUGUUCCCCCUUGGAUUAGGCUUGCUGAAGGGCAGUGGUCCCGGAGCAGCUUUUGGAGUGCUGGGGCAUUUGCAUCAAGUCUGUUGAUGUGUAUUUUUUGCAUGACAAUAAAUGAAGUUCCACACCCCCCUAGACAUAAUAAAUAAUACCAACAUUUUGAGCUCGUUGCUGCAACACUUAUAUAAUUCAGGGGGAAAAAAAAUGGGAUACAGCUAAUCUACGGAUGCAGGAAUAGCUUAGGAGAAGCCUCCAGCUUCCCUUUAAGGACUGGGUGUCCCUGUGGUUAAGCUUUGGCCCAAAGAAGGUCUUCCAGAUCUGCACUAGGAUUAUCUUACGUUCAACCAAGCCUGGCCCAAGCCAAGCAAGAAAUUAAAACUCUUACUGUUUACAGGGGAGCCAACCGCAUGAGAGUGAGUGAAGGAUGGCUGUGCCCUCACUAUUAAUUGCUUCAGUUUUACUUGCAGUUGGUGACAGUUAUUGUCACGCCUGCUGGGACACGGGAGGCGCUCCAUCCAUCACCUGCCCGAUCGCGGUGCGCUGGGAAAGUCACUGCUGCUGAUAGCUCUCUUCCACUCCCUGCACAGAACACUUUCUCCCCUUUAUUAAACAGAGGGAAAUGGAAGAACAAAAUUGGAAUAUGUAAAAUGCUUGUUACUUGCAUUUUCCAGCUGGCUGACGUUUCCUGAUAGGCUGCUUAUGGGGCAUCCGUUGUUGUUAUUCACCGCAGCACUUCAAAUAGCUAUUAUUAUUUUUGUUACUUCCCUGUUGAACACAAAAGCAUCAACUUUCCCUCUCACCUUGAUAAAAUAGGAUGCAAUUGCUUUCAUGGUUAACAAGUCCCAAGCAAGUGCCACGGGCUCACCCCGCGUGACAGUUUCUUGGCUGGAGGCUCCAAGGGAUACGUGCAAAACCAUCACUUGUGCUUCAGAAUGAUGAAAUUUACGCCGAGGCAUUAGAGGCAGCCAUAAAAAAAGCAGCACUUAAUUGCAAAGAAAAACACAGGGAAGAGAACGUAAAACAGAUUUAGGUUUUACGUGCUCGUGGAAAGCAGAAGAGGUGGGUGACCGUCAUUAUUUGGCUGUGGAAUAACUCAGAGAUCCAUUCCCUGAGAACCCUGCCCAGAAUUUGCACCAAGCCCUCUAAGCACACGCUCAAACAGGGCUUCCAUCAUGUCAAACUUGUCAAAAGCGGGUAAUGCAGAUGAAACACUUAAAAAGAAUCUCAUUUUCAGGACAAGCUGAUCACUCUUUCCUUGAAAAUAAAGCCCUUGUAAAAGAUCUUAAUUUAAGCAGCCAAAGAUUAAGCUGCCCAGAAUGAUUGCCUGCAUUUGCCGGCGAAUUUGCUGGCAUUUAGCACGCAGCACAAGGCUGCUAAUGCGGUGUCACCAUGCUCCUAAGAUCCACUGGGCUGAAAAAUAGUGGGAGGGGGUGGAAAAAAAUGAGAGCACAGGGAAGAAUGAUGCAUGGUGAGGGCUGAAUCCCAAGGUUGGAUCCAUUGCCUCUGGUGCAGUCAUGGGGUAAGCAUCACCCUUCCUGGAAGAAACCAGUUUGAAGAUCACCAUACAACUAGAAGAAAUAAAGCAGGGUGCAAUGAAUCCUAGAACCACUGGAUCAUUAAGUUUGGAAGAGACCUCUGAGAUCAUCAAGUCCAACCACCAACCCAUCCCCACCAUGCCCACAAUGAUCUUGGAUUGCUCUUUGCCUGUAGAGGAGGAGCCCAGGCUGAACGGGGCUUUGAGCAACACGGCCUAGCCAGAGGGAUCCCUGCCUAAAGUAGGGGAGUUGGAACUCGAUGAUCAUAAAGGUCCUUCCAAACCAAGCCAUUCUAUGAUUCCAUGACUUUGGUCUGCUCUCGGAGGUACUGGGCUGACCGGGCUUAGGGGGCAAACUGAGAUUCAACUGUCUUGGAGAAGCAUAAGCGAUAGCAGAGGUGGAGCUGACCCAGCUGGAAGGGGGCAUUGGUUAGAAGGUUACAGUGCCACUGCAGCUGAGAGCUGGGGGCAAGCUUGUAUAAAAGCAGCAAAGAAAUAAAAGGAGUAAUCAGAGGAAGAAAUCAAGCAAACAGAACCAUUUCCUUGAGAUAUUUGAGUUCCAGUUCAACCCCAGUAUCAGCAUGCAGCAAGAAGCCUUAUUUUAUACACACACGUAUAUAUAUUUGGCUUAAAAAGAAACAUUCUCUUGUUUGACAGCUUCUGCCCGGCUUUUUUUUUUUUAUGCCAUUUUCUUUUCUUUUCUUUUCCCCAUAGUUAUUUAAUUCUUCUUGUAUCUUAACAAAUACUAUUUGCUUCUGAAGUCGCAGCCUUGAGGCACAACCUCAGCACUGAAACCUUUGUCAGAGUGGAGCAGGGCUGGCCCCAGGCUGCAGCCUCCCCGCUUCGAUCUGCCUGGUGCAUCCCAAGCUCUGCAGCAAGUCCUCACCGGCGAGGGAUGCUUUGUGCCACUGAUGUGUAAGAGGUAGCACUGAGCAUGUUGCUAGCUGUCCCCGGAGGAUAACUUUUCAUUAUUGAUGUGGAAAGUGGAAAAUAAAAUAGACUAUUACACAUUUUAUCUUCAGGGAACUUUUUUUUUUCCUUCCUCUUUCUCCUCCCCUUCAGAUAUGAAGGCAUUUCAAUUCAGAGAAUCAUUCUGAGUACAAUGAAGAGAAGUCAAUUCAGAGAGCAGCAGGCACAGGUGACUUGCAACAUGUCUUUGCCAUGCAUGCCUUUAUUAUUCCCUGCCAAUCCUUGAGACAGGACGUCUUGUACCUGGAGUGCCACAGCUGUGCUGCUCUUUACAGUCAUUAAACUUGACUUUGAAGUUGUAAGAAAUAUCUGAUUCCUCUAGUUCAAACAGGCCUGGAGAAAUGGCACGUAAAGGGAAUGAAACAGCAUUCCUUGGGUUGAACCACCAGCCAAAGAAAGAUCAAAGGACAGCGAGGAAGAAAGUGUAAAACCUCUGUUUGUCAGUGUUCCAGCUGCUGUGUCAUGCGAGGAGUGCAUUCUCCAAUGCCUGCAGAUGGCACAGCCCGUGGGCAGCUGGGCACAGCUGGUUGGCAGCAGCAUGUGUGUUUGCCAGCUCACCGGCCAAGUGGAAAAUGGGCAUUUGUAGGUACAAGCCCUUUGAUUUUCCACUGGGAAAAGAACACAGGCAGUCAGGGAUGGGAGAGUAAAUCAGAGCUCACUGAUACGGAUAAAAGAAAGCUUCCAGAUCAAUAUUUAAGAGUAAGCUAGCAAAGGAAAACUGUGCUCUGUCUCCAUCCGCCAGCACUGCACAUGGCUGCUUAUCUCAUACAUCUGCUAUCUCCUCCCAGGCUUCUCACUUCCCAAGUCUACAGCACCAUCUAUAGCCCUCUCACUAUGUCUGUGUGUUCCAGCCUCACUUCUACAAGGAAGGAAUCAGGGAUUGGGGUAUCUGGCAGCAAGACCACUUCUCAUUGCACAUGUACAAAUGCAAUUAGGAUAACUGUAUUACCCUAAUGAUAAUGAAAUCAUCUCCAUAGCUGGUGGAGCUUACUGCAACCCACUGGGAAAAACUGGGUGCUGGGUUAUGACUGAGAUGGUACAAGAGGUUCCCUCAGCUUUGCCUGGAUGCUGGUACAUCUGAGGCAGGCAGCUGGGAUUUCCUCCAUGCACAGGGCACAUGCACACAGCAGGCAGCUCUUGUUUUGCACAGUUUGUUCACUGGGACAGGGAUCUGUAGCUGAAAUGCCAUCAGUACUUGCAAGGCUCUUAUCUUCCUGGUGUGCUGAGAUAGCACCUGACUGCACAGUCCAAGCACCUGAUUGGGUCUGAGAGAUUCAAGCGAUGUGACAGUGGGUUUGCCCCAGUCCUGGAGGUACCCAAGGCCAGGCUGGAUGGGGCUCUAAGAUCCCUUCCAACCCAACCAUUCUGUGACUCUAUGACAUUGGCCAGCUGGGACUGAGCAGGCAGCUGCAGGCUCCUUGCAGACAGGAGGUCCCUCCCUGCUCAGGUGGAACGAGCUGCUCUUUGGAAGUAUGUCCUCAUACUAUUGAGUAUUAGCUAUUGCCAUGGCUCAAUUUAGAGGCCUGACUUCAGGUAGGAAGUCUUAGAUAAGAAGUUCAACCUAUGCAUACUCUUCUGUUGCUAGAGGUCACUCACGCUGUCAUGCUCUCAGUGGCCCCUUCCUACAAGAACUUCGGGCCCUAUUCUGAAGCAACAGCAAAGCAAAGCUACGUGAUGGUGGUGGAGGGUUCAUUUGUGCAGAAGUGUACGUUGUGCAUUGGUAUGGAACUAGGAUGUCACUCAGGCAAGCUUUCCCAGGCAGCAAACUUCCACAUUUAUGUGCAAAUGAGGAGACAGUCACACUGAACGAGAGGGAGAGGAUGUUAAUGAAUCUUCUUCUAGGCUUUAAGGAAAACAUAUUGCCCAAUGCUGUGGAAAAUUAAAAUUUGUUUCUAAUAUGUAUGGUAAAUUUAAUGCUAAAGACCAAAGAUAAAUGGAAAGAGAGCUUAAUCCGAGCUGACCCCAUUUUUUGCUGGAAUGUCAUUUGCUAUGGUUUUUGCUCCCUCUUAGAAAGC